rnacentral:rRNA from 1 species
UGCGGAAGGAUCAUUAUUGAAUAAACUUGAUGUGGUUGUAGCUGACUUCCUUGAGGGGUAUGUGCUCGCCCGUCAUCUUUGUCUUUCCACCUGUGCACUUCUUGUAGAUUUGGAUGUAAUAUAUCGAACGCUUCUUAAUGGGGCUUCUUUAUACGUUCAAGUCUAUGCUUUUCACAUACUCCAAAGAAUGUAACAGAAUGUAUCACUAGGCCUCAGUGCCUAUAAACUUUAUACAACUUUCAGCAACGGAUCUCUUGGCUCUCGCAUCGAUGAAGAACGCAGCGAAAUGCGAUAAGUAAUGUGAAUUGCAGAAUUCAGUGAAUCAUCGAAUCUUUGAACGCACCUUGCGCCCCUUGGUAUUCCGAGGGGCAUGCCUGUUUGAGUGUCAUUAAAUUCUCAACCUUUACUAGUUUUUGCUAUGUAAUUGCUUGGAUGUGGGGGUAUUUUGCUGGUUUCUAAAGGAAUCUGCUCCCCUAAAAUACAUUAGCUGGCUCCCUUGUGGAACUGUCUAUUGACGUGAUAAUUAUCUACGUCGUUAGAUGUCUGCUAUUUAAUGGGAUAUGCUGCUUCUAAUCGUCCUUCUGGACAAUUAUUGACCAUUUGACCUCAAAUCAGGUAGGACUACCCGCUGAACUUA